GGUUCCCCUCACAGUCACUCAGGUGCGCCGAAGAAGCGGAUGCAGAACCUGCGCCAAUAUGCCAAUUUGUUCCACUGUUCCUUAAAUUGAUCACUUCACGAAGUGGGUCGAGCUCUAUCCCCUUUGGAAGUUUGUGAGAGCUCUGAUCUGGGACCGACUGCUGGAUGUCUUUUCACGGUUUGGAUUCCCGGACCAACUUAUCACUGAUUACAGAUAACGACUUGUACUUCACAAAACACAUCCGGCGCAGCCACAAUUUGUGCACUACUUUCGCAACAUGGCCCGUAGCAUGUGUUCAUGACGGUCACGUGAGUGCAUUCGAAGUUGGCCCGUAAGCUUACUGAUCAUCUUGAAGAGUGCCUUUGCCCGUGGGAUUGGAAUACAGUCUCCAUUGUAGCAUGCACCGUUCCUAGCAUGCAAGCCGAAUACCUGAAAAGGAAUAAAACUGUCAAUAUCGCAUUGCA